AUUAUUACACAUGAUUGAUUGAUUCUAUCCAUCCAUCUAUUUUGUGUCAUUAUUGCACAAACAAAUCAUCACCAAAGAGGUAUAGAAUUCUCUCAACAGCCCAACUAGGCUCAGGCUUGACCCAAGCCAAGCUCUGUGAACUGGUCAAAAGAGGGGCCCUACAUAGUGGACAAGUUUUGUGAUUAUCAUCAUGAUCAUCAUCGCGAUCAUGAUCAACCCA
rnacentral:misc_RNA from 1 species